AUUUGCCGCGUGAGUGAUGAAGGCCUUAGGUUGUAAGCUCUUUUACCCGGGAAGAUAAUGACGGUACCGGGAGAAUAAGCCCCGGCUAACUUCGUGCCAGCAGCCCGCGGUAAUACGAAGGGGGCUAGCGUUGUUCGGAUUUACUGGGCGUAAAGCGCACGUAGGCGGAUCUUUAAGUCAGAGGUGAAAUCCCAGGGACUCAACCCUUGGAACUGCCUUUGAUACUAGGCGGAUCUCGAGUCCUGGGAAGAAGGUGAGUGGCAAACUUGCGAAGUGUGAGACGGUGAAAUUCUGCUA
rnacentral:rRNA from 1 species